rnacentral:rRNA from 1 species
AACAGGAUUAGAUACCCUGGUAGUCCACGCCGUAAACGAUGUCGACUUGGAGGCUGUUCCCUUGAGGAGUGGCUUCCGGAGCUAACGCGUUAAGUCGACUGCCUGGGGAGUACGGCCGCAAGGUUAAAACUCAAAUGAAUUGACGGGGGCCCGCACAAGCGGUGGAGCAUGUGGUUUAAUUCGAUGCAACGCGAAGAACCUUACCUACUCUUGACAUCCAGAGAAUUUAGCAGAGAUGCUUUAGUGCCUUCGGGAACUCUGAGACAGGUGCUGCAUGGCUGUCGUCAGCUCGUGUUGUGAAAUGUUGGGUUAAGUCCCGCAACGAGCGCAACCCUUAUCCUUUGUUGCCAGCGCGUAAUGGCGGGAACUCAAAGGAGACUGCCGGUGAUAAACCGGAGGAAGGUGGGGAUGACGUCAAGUCAUCAUGGCCCUUACGAGUAGGGCUACACACGUGCUACAAUGGCGCAUACAAAGAGAAGCGACCUCGCGAGAGCAAGCGGACCUCAUAAAGUGCGUCGUAGUCCGGAUUGGAGUCUGCAACUCGACUCCAUGAAGUCGGAAUCGCUAGUAAUCGUAAAUCAGAAUGUUACGGUGAAUACGUUCCCGGGCCUUGUACACACCGCCCGUCACACCAUGGGAGUGGGUUGCAAAAGAAGUAGAUAGCUUAACCUUCGGGAGGGCGUUUACCACUUUGUGAUUCAUGACUGGGGUGAAGUCGUAACAAGGUAACCGUAGGGGAACCUGCGGCUGGAUCACCUCCUU